GACGAACGCUGGCGGCGUGCCUAAUACAUGCAAGUAGAACGAUGAAGGAGGAGCUUGCUCUUCUGGAUGAGUUGCGAACGGGUGAGUAACGAGUAGGUAACCUGCCUGGUAGCGGGGGAUAACUAUUGGAAACGAUAGCUAAUACCGCAUAAGAGUAGAUGUUGCAUGACAUUUACUUUAAAGGUGCAAUUGCAUCACUACCAGAUGGACCUGCGUUGUAUUAGCUAGUUGGUGGGGUAACGGCUUACCAAGGCGACGAUACAUAGCCGGCCUGAGAGGGUGAUCGGCCACACUGGGACUGAGACACGGCCCAGACUCCUACGGGAGGCAGCAGUAGGGAAUCUUCGGCAAUGGACGGAAGUCUGACCGAGCAACGCCGCGUGAGUGAAGAAGGUUUUCGGAUCGUAAAGCUCUGUUGUAAGAGAAGAACGAGUGUGAGAGUGGAAAGUUCACACUGUGACGGUAUCUUACCAGAAAGGGACGGCUAACUACGUG
rnacentral:rRNA from 1 species